UACGUAGGGGGCAAGCGUUGUCCGGAUUUAUUGGGCGUAAAGAGCGUGUAGGCGGCUUCGUCAGUCCGUUGUGAAAGUCCAGGGCUCAACCCUGGAAUGCCGAUGGAUACUGCGGAGCUAGAGUACGGAAGAGGCGAGUGGAAUUCCUGGUGUAGCGGUGAAAUGCGCAGAUAUCAGGAGGAACACCUAUGGCGAAGGCAGCUCGCUGGGACGUAUACUGCGCUGAGACGCGAAAGCGUGGGGAGCAAACAGG
rnacentral:rRNA from 1 species